rnacentral:rRNA from 1 species
GUAGGCGCAGCGAAAGCGAGUCUGAACAGGGCGUUCAGUUCGUCGCAUUAGACCCGAAACCGAGUGAUCUAGCCAUGAGCAGGCUGAAGGUUGGGUAACACCAACUGAAGGGCCGAACCCGUAUCUGUUGCAAUAGAUUGGGAUGACUUGUGGCUAGGGGUGAAAGGCCAAUCAAACCUGGAGAUAGCUGGUUCUCCGCGAAAUCUAUUUAGGUAGAGCG